CCCAUACGGGUUGAAGCAUGACCGUAAGGACAUGUGGACAGUAUGGGAGUGAGAAUGUUGGCAUGAGUAGCGAGAUGUGGGUGAGAAUCCCACAGGCCGUAACCCCAAGGUUUCCAGGGGAAGGUUCGUCCGCCCUGGGUUAGUCGGGACCUAAGCUGAGGCCGAAAGGCGUAGGUGAUGGACAACAGGUUGAUAUUCCUGUACU
rnacentral:rRNA from 1 species